rnacentral:rRNA from 1 species
GGUUCGAUCAUGGCUCAGAUUGAACGCUGGCGGGAUGCUUUACACAUGCAAGUCGAACGCAGCAGCACGGACUUCGGUCUGGUGGCGAGUGGCGAACGGGUGAGUAAUGUAUCGGAACGUGCCCUGGUGGCGGGGGAUAACUACGCGAAAGCGUAGCUAAUACCGCAUACGCCCUUCGGGGAAAGCGGGGGGACCUUCGGGCCUCGCGCACUAUUAGAAACGACGAUAUCGGAUUAGCUAGUUGGUGGGGUAACGGCUCACCAAGGCGACGAUCCGUAGCUGGUUUGAGAGGACGACCAGCCACACUGGGACUGAGACACGGCCCAGACUCCUACGGGAGGCAGCAGUGGGGAAUUUGGACAAUGGGGGAAACCCUGAUCCAGCCAUCCCGCGUGUGCGAUGAAGGACUUCGGGUUGUAAAGCACUUUUGGCAGGAAAGAAACGGCACGGGAUAAUACCCCGUGCAACUGACAGUACCUGCAGAAUAAGCACCGGCUAACUACGUGCCAGCAGCCGCGGUAAUACGUAAGUGCAAGCGUUAAUCCGAUUACUGGGCGUAAAGCGUGCGCAGGCGGUUCGGAGGAAAGAAGAUGUGAAAUCCCAGAGCUUAACUUUGGAACUGCAUUUUUAACUACCGAGCUAGAGUGUGUCAGAGGAGAGUGGAAUUCCGCGUGUAGCAGUGAAAUGCGUAGAUAUGGAGGAACACCGAUGGCGAAGGCAGCCUCCUGGGAUAACACUGACGCUCAUGCACGAAAGCAUUAGAGCAAACAGGAUUAGAUACCCUGGUAGUCCGCCUAAACGAUGUCAACUAGCUGUUGGGGCCUUCCGGGCCUUGGUAGCGCAGCUAACGCGUGAUUGACCGCCUGGGGAAAUACAGUCGCAAGAUUAAAACUCAAAGGAAUUGACGGGGACCCGCACAAGCGGUGGAUGAUGUGGAUUAAUUCGAUGCAACGCGAAAAACCUUACCUACCCUUGACAUGUCUGGAAUCGAAGAGAUUUGGGAGUGCUCGCAAAGAGAACCGGAACUUACAGAGUGCUGCAUGGCUGUCGUCAGCUCGUGUCGUGAGAUGUUGGGUUAAGUCCCGCAACAGGCGCAACCCUUGUCAUUAGUUGCUACGAAGGGCACUCUAAUGGAACUGCCGGUGACAAACCGGAGGAAGGUGGGGAUGACGUCAAGUCCUCAUGGCCCUUAUGGGUAGGGCUUCACACGUCAUACAAUGGUCGGGACAGAGGGUCGCCAACCCGCGAGGGGAGCCAAUCCCAGAAACCCGAUCGUAGUCCGGAUCGCAGUCUGCAACUCGACUGCGUGAAGUCCAGAAUCGCUAGUAAUCGCGGAUCCAGCAUGUCGCGGUGAAUACGUUCCCGGGUCUUGUACACACCGCCCGUCACACCAUGGGAGUGGGUUUUACCAAGUAGUUAGCUAACCGCUGGAGGGCGAUUACCACGGUAGGAUUCAUGACUGGGGUGAAGUCGUAACAAGGUGG